rnacentral:rRNA from 1 species
AUUUUCCGGUUGAUCCUGCCGGAUCCUACUGCUAUCGGGAUGAGACUAAAACAUGCUAGUUGUGCGCACCUUAGCUAUGUUAGGAGCGCAGCGAACGGCUCCGUAACACGUUGUCAAUCUAACCUUAGGAUAGGAAUAACCCCGGGAAACUGGGGCUAAUACCUGAUAGGCGAAAAAUUCUGGAAUGAUUUUUCACUCAAAGAGUUAUAGGAACAUGCUUCUUUAGCUGCCUAAGGAUGAGACUGCGUCCGAUCAGGUUGUUGGUGGGGUGAUGGCCUACCAAGCCUAUAACCGGUACGGGCCCUGAGAGGGGGAGCCCGGAGAUGGGAACUGAGACAAGGUCCCAGACCCUAAGGGGUGCAGCAGUUGCGAAACCUCUACAAUGCACGAAAGUGUGAUAGGGUUAUCCCGAGUGCCGUCCGAUGAGGAUGGCUUUUACCUGGUGUAAGGAGCCAGGAGAAUAAAGGGGGGGCAAGACUGGUGUCAGCCGCCGCGGUAAUACCAGCCCCCUGAGUGGUAGGGAUGAUUAUUUGGCCUAAAGCGUCCGUAGCCGGCUCAGCAAGUCUUUCGUUAAAUCCGGUGACUUAAUCAUCGGGCCGCGAGAGAUACUACUAGGCUUGAGGGCGGGAGAGGUCGACGGUAUUCCGGGGGUAGGGGUAAAAUCCUAUAAUCCUCGGAGGACCACCAGUGGCGAAGGCGGUCGACUAGAACGUGCCUGACGGUGAUGGACGAAAGCUGGGGGAGCAAACCGGAUUAGAUACCCGGGUAGUCCCAGCUGUAAACUAUGCAAACUCGGUGAUGCAUUGGCUUGAUGCCAAUGCAGUGCCGCAGGGAAGCCGUUAAGUUUGCCGCCUGGGAAGUACGUACGCAAGUAUGAAACUUAAAGGAAUUGGCGGGGGAGCACCAUAAGGGGUGAAGCCUGCGGUUCAAUUGGAGUCAACGCCGGGAAU